rnacentral:rRNA from 1 species
AGAGUUUGAUCCUGGCUCAGGACGAACGUUGGCGGUGCGCUUAAUGCAUGCAAGUCGAGGGAGAAGCAGUUGUUCCGUAAGGUUCGACUGUGGAAACCGGCGAACGGGUGCGUAACACGUGAGAAACCUGCCCCCCAGAUCGGGAUAGCCCAGGGAAACUUGGAUUAAUACCGGAUACUCUCUUUGGAUCGCAUGAUCCGUUGAGGAAACAGUCCGCUGCUGGGGGAUGGUCUCGCGGCCUAUCAGGUAGUUGGUGAGGUAACGGCUCACCAAGCCUAAGACGGGUAGCUGGUCUGAGAGGACGAUCAGCCACACUGGAACUGAGACACGGUCCAGACUCCUACGGGAGGCAGCAGCAGGGAAUAUUGCACAAUGGGCGAAAGCCUGAUGCAGCGACACCGCGUGCGGGAUGACGGCCUUAGGGUUGUAAACCGCUUUCGGGAGGGAAGAAAAUGACGGUACCUCCUAAAGAAGCUCCGGCCAACUACGUGCCAGCAGCCGCGGUAAUACGUAGGGAGCAAACGUUGUCCGGAUUUAUUGGGCGUAAAGGGCUCGUAGGCGGUUCAACAAGUCGAUCGUGAAAGCCCGGGGCUCAACCCCGGGAGGCCGGUCGAAACUGUUGUGACUAGAGUUCGGUAGAGGUGAGUGGAAUUCUCGGUGUAGCGGUGGAAUGCGCAGAUAUCGAGAGGAACACCAUUAGCGAAGGCGGCUCACUGGGCCGAUACUGACGCUGAGGAGCGAAAGCGUGGGGAGCAAACAGGAUUAGAAACCCUGGUAGUCCACGCCGUAAACGAUGAACACUAGGUGUAGCGGACUGAUUCAUGUCUGCUGUGCCGCAGCUAACGCAUUAAGUUCUCCGCCUGGGGAGUACGCCGGCAACGGUAAAACUCAAAGGAAUUGACGGGGACCCGCACAAGCGGUGGAGCAUGUGGUUUAAUUAGAUGCAACGCGAAGAACCUUACCUGCCCUUGACAUACUCGGAACUUUCCAGAGAUCGAUUGGUGCCUUCGGGAACCGAGAUACAGGCUUAUGGCUGUCGUCAGCUCGUGUCGUGAGAUGUUGGGUUAAGUCCCGCAACGAGCGCAACCCUUGUCCCUAGUUGCCAUCCCUUCGGGUGGGAACUCUAGGGAGACUGCCGGUGACAAACCGGAGGAAGGUGGGGACGACGUCAAGUCAUCAUGGCCCUUAUGGGCUGGGCUACACACGUGCUACAAUGGGGAGUACAGAGGGUUGCCAGCCAGCGAUGGUGAGCCAAUCCCUUAAAGCUUCUCGUAGUCCGGAUCGGAGUCUGCAACUCGACUCCGUGAAGUCGGAAUCGCUAGUAAUCGCGAAUCAGAAUGUCGCGGUGAAUACGUUCCCGGGUCUUGUACACACCGCCCGUCACACCAUGGAAGUAGGUUGCACCAGAAGUAGGUAGCUUAACCCUCGGGAGAGCGCUUACCACGGUGUGGCUUAUGACUGGGGUGAAGUCGUAACAAGGUAGCC